rnacentral:rRNA from 1 species
GUGUCAGCAGCCGCGGUAAUACAGAGGGUGCAAGCGUUGUUCGGAAUUACUGGGCGUAAAGCGCGCGCAGGCGGAUCCUGUAAGUCGGAAGUGAAAUUUCACGGCUCAACCGUGAAGCUGCUUCUGAUACUGCGGAUCUGGAGAUCGGUAGAGGUCGGUAGAAUUACAGGUGUAGCGGUGGAAUGCGUAGAUAUCUGUAAGAAUACCCGUGGCGAAGGCGGCCGACUGGGCCGAAUCUGACGCUGAGGCGCGAAAGCGUGGGGAGCAAACAGGAUUAGAUACCCUGGUAGUCCACGCCGUAAACGAUGGGCACUAGGUGCCGGGGGGAGCGACCCCUUCGGUGCCGCAGCUAACGCGAUAAGUGCCCCGCCUGGGGAGUACGGCCGCAAGGCUGAA